rnacentral:rRNA from 1 species
GAUGAACGCUAGCGGCAGGCCUAAUACAUGCAAGUCGGACGGGAUUUGGGAGCUUGCUCCCGAUGAGAGUGGCGCACGGGUGCGUAACACGUAUGUAACCUACCUUUGUCAGGGGGAUAGCCGCUCGAAAGAGAGAUUAAGACCGCAUAACAUUACAGUGUGGCAUCGCAAAGUAAUCAAAUAUUUAUAGGACAAAGAUGGGCAUGCGGAACAUUAGCUAGUUGGUACGGUAACGGCGUACCAAGGCUACGAUGUUUAGGGGAUCUGAGAGGAUGGCCCCCCACACUGGUACUGAGACCCGGACCAGACUCCUACGGGAGGCAGCAGUAAGGAAUAUUGGUCAAUGGACGGAAGUCUGAACCAGCCAUGCCGCGUGCAGGAAGACGGCCCUACGGGUUGUAAACUGCUUUUGCAGGGGAAUAAACCCCGAUAUGUAUAUCGGGCUGAAUGUACUCUGAGAAUAAGGAUCGGCUAACUCCGUGCCAGCAGCCGCCGUAA